rnacentral:rRNA from 1 species
GACGAACGCUGGCGGCGUGCCUAAUACAUGCAAGUAGAACGCCGUUGCGAACGGGUGAGUAACGCGUAUGUACUUGCCUCAUAGCGGGGGGUCCCUAUUUGAAACCUUAGCCAAUACCCCAUACUUUGAGAUGGACCUGCGUUGUAUUAGCUAGUUGGUGGGGUAAAGGCUCAACAAGGCGACGAUACAGAGCCGGCCUGGGAGGGAGAACGGCCAAACGGGGACUGAGAAAAGGCCCAGACUCCGACCGGAGGGAGCAGUAGGGAAGCUGCGGAAAUGGACGGAAGGCCGACCGAGCAAAGCCGCGUGAGUGAAGAAGGGUUUCGGGGCGUGAAGCUCUGUUAUUAGGGAAGCGGUAACGAAACAGAAAGGGACGGCUAACUACGUGCCAGCAGCCGCGGUAAUUC